GGAAAUCCUUAGUUGAAGAUGGAUUUCGCCUUUGGAAAACACAGAGGAUAAUCCCUGAGAUGAGUGGACAAUAGCUUGCUGCCUAUGAGAAAAUCUACCAUGUGUAGUGAACUCUGAAUGAAUGACUGAUGUUCUUCUCAAUCAAGAAUGAAAACACAGGGGAAUCCAGUGUUGACCAUGGGAAGUAAUGUGAGACUUCUGCCGGCCUGUCCUUCAUCUCCCCAUCUCUCUGAGUAACUUGGAUGGUGAUAAUAGCAGUUAGCAUUCACAACCUCCGAGCAGCAAGGAAGAAUGGGGCACACGCCAAGGUGGCCACGCAUGGUUGGCGCUCACACGGAAGAGCUGGAG